AGUAAUGUCUGGGAAACUGCCUGAUGGAGGGGGAUAACUACUGGAAACGGUAGCUAAUACCGCAUAACGUCGCAAGACCAAAGUGGGGGACCUUCGGGCCUCAUGCCAUCAGAUGUGCCCAGAUGGGAUUAGCUAGUAGGUGGGGUAAUGGCUCACCUAGGCGACGAUCCCUAGCUGGUCUGAGAGGAUGACCAGCCACACUGGAACUGAGACACGGUCCAGACUCCUACGGGAGGCAGCAGUGGGGAAUAUUGCACAAUGGGCGCAAGCCUGAUGCAGCCAUGCCGCGUGUGUGAAGAAGGCCUUCGGGUUGUAAAGCACUUUCAGCGGGGAGGAAGGCGGUGAGGUUAAUAACCUCAUCGAUUGACGUUACCCGCAGAAGAAGCACCGGCUAACUCCGUGCCAGCAGCCGCGGUAAUACGGAGGGUGCAAGCGUUAAUCGGAAUUACUGGGCGUAAAGCGCACGCAGGCGGUCUGUCAAGUCGGAUGUGAAAUCCCCGGGCUUAACCUGGGAACUGCAUUCGAAACUGGCAGGCUAGAGUCUUGUAGAGGGGGGUAGAAUUCCAGGUGUAGCGGUGAAAUGCGUAGAGAUCUGGAGGAAUACCGGUGGCGAAGGCGGCCCCCUGGACAAAGACUGACGCUCAGGUGCG
rnacentral:rRNA from 1 species